UGUAACAAGCUGGUAUCAGUUGACACAGAGAGGGAAACCAAAGUCAUAGGGAUGUACAAAUGAACAGCCUAUGCUACUUAAUGAUGACACAUAUCUCCCAGCAGGUGCCAGAGGCGACGCACAGAAUGGACUCCAGGCAUGAAACUUUCCCCACUGUCCUCCAGUGUGCCUCAACCUUGUAUUGGAAGGACCACUGUAUCUACCAGGAUAACAGGCUGUUGUCACAGUUCCAGGACAUCACUCACCUUGACAAAAGGAUGACAAUAAACCUUACCUAACAGAAGCACGCAAGUGAACAGAAGUUCAUCAGUAUUUUCCUCAACCCUCUUGCAAAGACCUUAGUAAAGCCCCACCAGACUCUCAAUCUGCAAACCAAAAAUGCCCUUUCAGGAACCAUGACACUAUACAAAAAAUGUACUGAAGACUCUUGUGAGCCUGUGACCCUAAGCACUCCUCUAUUCACACCUUACCUGCUAUUGGAAUGAUCUUUGUACAAAAUAUGGCUUGUGAGAUAUAAUUUGAAAGCUAGUAACUCAGUGAUCAUUAAUAAUCUUGCAUCAUGUAUGUACGUGGUGGGUAUUAAGCGUUAUGGACCUCUAUGUAAAUUAAUCAUGGUGGAAUCAAACAAUGGAAGCCCCUUUUACAUAGAAAUCAUACAGGGGGAUGGGGAACCCACAGGAAGGGAAGAACAGAAUGAGGUUCAAUGAACUUUGGAAGAUACAACCAAGGACAGAAGCUGUCGCUGGCAUCCAUCACUAGACAAGACACAAGGGAACAGAGUCCUUGCAAGCUGAGAAAGAUGGAUCCUUCAAUCAAGGAGGGGCAGCGUUGAAGUCUCUGGAAAUGAAAUAGGUGAAAAACCUGUGUAGGUAAAGAUCUUUCACUCAAGAAGCCAGAGCCCGGUACUUUGUGGAAGGUCCUGACUGAGGGAAAGACAGCCAAGGCUGGGAAGAAAAGUGACUGGUAAGAGAAACCAUCUUGAACAAAGCCCGCAUCUUGCUAGAUUAAAUUUUAGAUCUUUAGAAGCAUGUUUUGUUUUGUUUGACUUGUAACUCUUUAUUUUCAUUCCUUAUACUACAACUCACUUAAUCCGAUGUAUAUUUUGUUAAUAAAUUUUUCAUUUUUACCAGAAACC